rnacentral:rRNA from 1 species
AUUGAACGCUGGCGGCAGGCCUAACACAUGCAAGUCGAAUGGUAACAGGAAACAGCUUGCUGUUUCGCUGACGAGUGGCGGACGGGUGAGUAAUGUCUGGGAGACUGCCUGAUGGAGGGGGAUAACUACUGGAAACGGUAGCUAAUACCGCAUAACGUCGCAAGACCAAAGAGGGGGACCUUCGGGCCUCUUGCCAUCAGAUGUGCCCAGAUGGGAUUAGCUAGUAGGUGGGGUAACGGCUCACCUAGGCGACGAUCCCUAGCUGGUCUGAGAGGAUGACCAGCCACACUGGAACUGAGACACGGUCCAGACCCCUACGGGAGGCAGCAGUGGGGAAUAUUGCACAAUGGGCGCAAGCCUGAUGCAGCCAUGCCGCGUGUAUGAAGAAGGCCUUCGGGUUGUAAAGUACUUUCAGCGGGGAGGAAGGGAGUAAAGUUAAUACCUUUGCUCAUUGACGUUACCCGCAGAAGAAGCACCGGCUAACUCCGUG